UACGUAGGCGGAAAAUUAAGUCAGUAGUGAAAUCCUGCAGCUUAACUGUAGAACUGUUAUUAAUACUGGUUUUCUUGAAUAUAGUUGAGGUAGGCGGAAUGUGUAAUGUAGCGGUGAAAUGCUUAGAUAUUACACAGAACACCGAUUGCGAAGGCAGCUUACUAAGCUAUGAUUGACGCUGAGGUACGAAAGCGUGGGGAGCGAACAGGAUUAGAUACCCUGGUAGUC
rnacentral:rRNA from 1 species